rnacentral:rRNA from 1 species
UACAGGGGGGGGCAAGCGUUGUUCGGAAUUACUGGGCGUAAAGGGCGCGUAGGCGGCCUGUUAAGUCGAACGUGAAAUCCCCAGGCUCAACCCGGGAACUGCGUCCGAUACUGGCAGGCUUGAAUCCGGGAGAGGGAUGUGGAAUUCCAGGUGUAGCGGUGAAAUGCGUAGAUAUCUGGAGGAACACCGAUAGCGAAGGCAGCUCGCUGGGACGGUACUGACGCUGAGGCGCGAAAGCGUGGGGAGCGAACAGG